UGGGGAAUUUUGCACAAUGGGGGAAACCCUGAUGCAGCGACGCCGCGUGAUUUAGAAGGCCUCCGGGUUGUAAAAAUCUUUUCUAUGGGAAGAAAAUGACAGUACCAUAGGAAUAAGGACCGGCUAAUUACGUGCCAGCAGCCGCGGUAAUACGUAAGGUCCGAGCGUGGUCCGGAAUCAUUGGGCGUAAAGGGUACGUAGGCGGGUAAGCAAGUUAGAAGUGAAAUCCUAUAGCUCAACUAUAGUAAGCUUUUAAAACUGCUCAUCUUGAGGUAUGGAAAGGAAAGUGGAAUUCCUAGUGUAGCGGUGAAAUGCGCAGAUAUUAGGAGGAAUACCGGUGGCGAAGGCGACUUUCUGGCCAUAGCCUGACGCUGAGGUACGAAAGCGUGGGUAGCAAACAGG
rnacentral:rRNA from 1 species